rnacentral:rRNA from 1 species
GCUAUCGGGGUUCGAUUAAGCCAUGCGAGUCGAGAGGGUUCGGCCCUCGGCGUACUGCUCAGUAACACGUGGAUAACCUGCCCUAAGGAAGGGGAUAACCCCGGGAAACUGGGGAUAAUACCCUAUAGGUUACAGAUGCUGGAAUGCCCUGUAACCCAAAGCUCCGGCGCCUUAGGAUGGAUCUGCGGCCGAUUAGGUUGUUGUUGGGGUAACGGCCCAACAAGCCAGUAAUCGGUACGGGUUGUGGGAGCAAGAGCCCGGAGUUGGAUUCUGAGACACGAAUCCAGGCCCUACGGGGCGCAGCAGGCGCGAAAACUUUACAAUGCGGGCAACCGUGAUAAGGGAACCUCGAGUGCCUGUACAUGCAGGCUGUUCGGGUGUCUAAAACACACCUGAAGAAAGGGCCGGGCAAGACCGGUGCCAGCCGCCGCGGUAAUACCGGCGGCUCGAGUGGUGGCCACUUUUAUUGGGCUUAAAGCGUUCGUAGCUGGGUUGUUAAGUCUCUUGGGAAAUCUGACGGCUCAACCGUCAGGCGUCUAAGGGAUACUGGCAAUCUUGGAACCGGGAGAGGUGAGGGGUACUUCGGGGGUAGGAGUGAAAUCCUGUAAUCCUCGAGGGACCACCUGUGGCGAAGGCGCCUCACCAGAACGGCUUCGACAGUGAGGGACGAAAGCUGGGGGAGCAAACCGGAUU